rnacentral:rRNA from 1 species
AAUAUUGGACAAUGGGCGAAAGCCUGAUCCAGCCAUGCUGCGUGUGUGACGAAGGUCUUCGGAUUGUAAAGCACUUUCAGUCGGGAGGAAGGGCAGUAAGUUAAUACCUUGCUGUUUUGACGUUACCGACAGAAUAAGCACCGGCUAACUUCGUGCCAGCAGCCGCGGUAAUACGAAGGGUGCAAGCGUUAAUCGGAAUUACUGGGCGUAAAGCGCGCGUAGGUGGUUCGUGAAGUUGGAAGUGAAAGCCCCGAGCUUAACCUGGGAAUUGCUUUCAAAACUGACGAGCUAGAGUACGGUAGAGGGUAGUGGAAUUUCCUGUGUAGCGGUGAAAUGCGUAGAAAUAGGAAGGAACAACAGUGGAGAAGGCGACUACCUGGACUGAUACUGACACUGAGGUGCGAAAGCGUGGGGAGCAAACAGG